CGACAGACGCCGUGCCAGCGGUGGGGGUAAGAGGGAGAGUGCGUGCGUUGUCCUGGUUUAUUGGGUUUAAAGGGAGCGUAGGCGGGCAAUUAAGUCAGUGGUGAAAGACUUCGGCUCAACCGGAGCAGUGUCAUGGAUACUGGUUGGCUUGAGUGCUGCAGGGGUACAUGGAAUUGAUGGUGUAGCGGUGAAAUGCAUAGAUACCAUCAGGAACACCGAUAGCGAAGGCAUUGUACUGGGCAGCAACUGACGCUGAUGCACGAAAGCAUGGGUAGCGAACAGGAUUAGAUACCCUUGUAGC
rnacentral:rRNA from 1 species